GACGAACCGUGCGAACGUUGUUCGGAUUUACUGGGCGUAAAGCGCACGUAGGCGGAUCGAUCAGUCAGGGGUGAAAUCCCAGAGCUCAACUCUGGAACUGCCUUUGAUACUGUCGAUCUGGAGUAUGGAAGAGGUGAGUGGAAUUCCGAGUGUAGAGGUGAAAUUCGUAGAUAUUCGCAAGAACACCAGUGGCGAAGGCGGCUCACUGGCCCGGUACUGACGCUGAGGCACGAAAGCGUGGGGAGCAAACAGG
rnacentral:rRNA from 1 species